rnacentral:lncRNA from 1 species
CUCACAGCUGGACCAGAACCAUCUUCCUCUACGGAAGCUGCCUGACCUCAGGGUGGGCAAAGAGGUACUGACCCUGCCCUGCGGCCCAUGGCUGAGUGUUUACCUAGAAGUGGGGGCAGGCAGGCACCCAGGCAAUAGCAUUUAAGGAGGUUCUGGCUCUCAAGGUCCUGCAAAUGCCAACUUUGGGCUUGUGUGGAUAUGCAAAUGAGUGCUUCCUUAAAAGCUUCCUGCCCUAUUCCUGCCCUUACCUAGGGUUGAUUUAUAGAGGACCAAAAGACCUGGGGGUGGGGCAUUGGCAGCUGUUGGUCUUCAGAGUCUCACAGACAGGGGUUCAAAUCCUGAUUUUAGCCACUUAGUACCUGAGUGACCGUGGAUGGGUCUGUUCCUAUGCAUGGACUCAAUUUUCUCAUCUAUACAGCAGGGAUUAUAGAAUAAAAUCCACUUUCUCAGUAGUUAUGGAUGAGAAGAGUCGCAUGUAAAGUGCCUGGCACUCAGUAACUUAGCACUUAUUACCUUUUUUUUUUUUUUUAAGCUCAGAAAGAGGAAAUCAGGGGGUGGCAGAGAAUAAUGGCCGCAUGGGAAUCAAUGGGUGGUUCCCUGGAGCUCAGCAGGAUUGGUAAUUUCUCCUUGAAGCAAAGCCAGGAUGAGGCUGGGAGGGCAGAGCCCGGGGAUGCCACACCUCUGGGGUGGCCGGGAGCUCUGCCCCUCAUCUGCACACCACCCAGAUGGCUCCUGGUGGAGGAGCACUGCAAGGAGAGUCCACUCACUGAGGCACCUCCAUCCAAGCCAGAGACGAUUCAGAGGCUGAAGCUGAGAGAGGUCAAGGUGACCUGGCCACGGUGAUUACACAGCUCAGAGCGGCAGCAGGAAGUGGAGCCCAGAGGACCACUGAGAAGCUGCUGCCGCUUCCCCUGAUGGUGACUGAGUACGAGGUGCAGCGCAUAGGCAGGCUGGCCCGGACCCGGCUUCUCCUCCCAGCACGUUCACAGGUCACAGGCACACCUGUGACGCAGGGACUGCGAUUAGCAUCACUGUCAUCUGCCUGAGUGAACCAAGGCUAGGAGCAGUGAGCUAGCUGCCCAGGACUGCUGGGAGGAGAAGACCAGGCUGGGCUUGAAGACACACCAUCGUCACUGGGAGCAGAGAGCCAGGUUGGACAGAGGCGGAGACGUCACCAUCCACACCUGCUCUGUGGUGUGAUCCUGUGACAACGCCGUGCAUCUGCCAAAUCUCAUGUCCUCGUUCUUCGAGGCACAGAUGGCCCCUAGCAGUGACUGGAUUCCAACCAGGGACUGUAGGAGUGAGUGGUGAGUUCACUUCCGGGGAUGUACCCUAAGGAAAGAAUUCUGUGAUCCAGUGGCCGGAUGCAGUGCCCCAUGCCUUGAAUCCCACUACUCGAGGAGGCUAAGGCAGGAGGAUCACAAGUUUGAGCUCAGCCUGGGCAACUUAGUGACCUAGCGAAUCCCUGUCUUAAAAUAAAACAAAUUAAAAAGGGCUCAGUGUGGAGGCUUGAGUUUGAUCCCCACGCCCAAGAGCAUGCGCGCGCGCGCGCGCACACACACACACACACACACACACACACACACAAUGCCCUGACCCUCUGCCUCCUGAGCAGAUGAGGGAGGUGUCUCAUUCAAGACUUUGAGAUGCUUUGGUACUGUGAAGCCACCGCACAGAAGCUGUUGGUCCCCAAGUGACUGCAUGGAGCCCAGUGCUCAACUGCCCCGCUGAGCUGUGCUGGACCGUGGCGUGGACCUCAGCUUUUCCCCAUCACCCAUGAGAAGGGGCUGUUUGGGAGCAGUUAGCCCGCCGUUCCUUAGGUAUUUUCAGCCAAGUUGUUGGCCACAGUGAGGUUUUCUGGUCCAGGGGUUCCCCAGGAAAGGACGCACUGCAGCAAGAACUGGGGGUCAUGCAGUCCCCAGUGUCAGGUGCAGGGCCCGGUCUCCAGGGAUAUUCGUGGAGUGACUUGAAUGACUGUCUCAGCCCAGGGGUCCUCAGGGUCCCAAGUGGAGGGUCCUGGGGAGGGAGGGGCGAUGGAGAGAAGGUCUGAGUCACCCAACAGUCCUGUCCUUCCCCGAUGCUCACCCCUCCUCUCCCUCCUCUCCCCGCUGUCCAGCCGGCCAUUGCUGUGCAAAUACCACGUGACCUCACCCGUCCCAGCU